CAUACAGUACAGCAAAGAAGCGUUCGAAGAAAGUGCACGCCGUUGUGGUUUAGCUCUGCGCAGCGCGGCUAGACUGUUAUAAAAGCAGAACUCAUUGAGCUAAACUUCAUUAUUUUGGAUUGUUUUAACUGUCUGGGAAGAUCGGAGACUGCAGCUACUGAUACAGGCUAUAUAGAUCUAGAUACAGUGCAAGUGAGUGGAAGGAUCGAAGAGUUUUAACUGGAAGAUCGGCGACUGACUGUGGCUACUGAUACAGUCUAUAGACACAGUACAACUACUGAUACAGUGCAAGUGAGUGGACGGAUCGAAGAGUUUUAACUGGAAGAUCGGCGACUGACUGCGGCUACUGAUACAGUCUAUAGACACAGUACAACUACUGAUACAGUGCAAGUGAGUGGACGGAUCGAAGAGUUUUAACUGGAAGAUCGGCGACUGACUGCGGCUACUGAUACAGCCUAUAGACACAGUACAAAUCAACCAACAUUAGCAUGGCAAAAAAAAGACCACGGGAAGUUACUGACUUCGAUGACAUUGGUAAUGAUCCAAUCCCAAGUGCAACUAUUCGAUGUGUAUUAACUUCCUUAUCACCAAUCAAGAAAGGCCGAAAGAGCAAAUAUUUUGAUGGAAAUGCAAGUGAUGGUAAGCAGACAUGUCGAUUGUUAUCAUUUUCGGAAAGACAGCUGGAUAUUUUGAAGAAGUUCAAGGGUGCCAAAGAGACUGUGGAGAUCAGGGACUGUCAGGUAAAGAGAGCAAUGAGGGGAGACAGAAUGGAAAUUGUAUUGAAGUCCAGCAGUGAAAUUGCACACAGCUCAAAACAACUCGACACUACAAACAUUGACUUUGAUGAUGGUGUUGUCCCAGAAAUAUUAAUUGCAGCAUUAGAAGAUAGAUGUGUUUUCGAUGUAGUGACGAUCCGUGUAAAGGUCCAUCAAGUUUGCCAAAGAGAGUUUUUUGACGGUGGUUACAUCAAGCAAGAUGUCAGCGUUUCAGAUGGCAGUGGUGUUGGACGGGUCACAGUGUGGGGAGAUUUCGUUGGAACAGUGUUUGUAGGAGAGUGCUAUUUGUUUUCCGGAUUUAUGGUUAAAGAAUUUAGUGGCAACAAAUAU